rnacentral:rRNA from 1 species
GAACGAACGCUGGCGGCAGGCUUAACACAUGCAAGUCGAACGACAUAGUGGCAGACGGGUGAGUAACGCGUGGAAACGUGCCUUUCACUACGGAAUAGCUUUUGGAAACGAAAGGUAAUACCGUAUACGCCCUCCGGGGGAAAGAUUUAUCGGUGAAAGAUCGGUCCGCGUUAGAUUAGCUAGUUGGUGAGGUAACGGCUCACCAAGGCUACGAUCUAUAGCUGGUCUGAGAGGAUGAUCAGCCACACUGGGACUGAGACACGGCCCAGACUCCUACGGGAGGCAGCAGUGGGGAAUAUUGCACAAUGGGCGCAAGCCUGAUGCAGCCAUGCCGCGUGAAUGAUGAAGGCCUUAGGGUUGUAAAAUUCUUUCGUCAGGGAUGAUAAUGACAGUACCUGGUAAAGAAGCCCCGGCUAACUUCGUGCCAGCAGCCGCGGUAAUACGAAGGGGGCUAGCGUUGUUCGGAAUUACUGGGCGUAAAGCGCACGUAGGCGGACUUUUAAGUCAGAUGUGAAAUCCCGAGGCUCAACCUCGGAACUGCAUUUGAAACUGGGAGUCUAGAGAUCAGGAGAGGUUAGCGGAAUACCCGAGUGUAGAGGUGAAAUUCGUAGAUAUUCGGUGGAACACCAGUGGCGAAGGCGGCUAACUGGACUGAUACUGACGCUGAGGUGCGAAAGUGUGGGGAGCAAACAGGAUUAGAUACCCUGGUAGUCCACACCGUAAACGAUGAGUGCUAGUUGUCUGCAGGCAUGCCUGUAGGUGACGCAGCUAACGCAUUAAGCACUCCGCCUGGGGAGUACGGCCGCAAGGUUAAAACUCAAAGAAAUUGACGGGGGCCCGCACAAGCGGUGGAGCAUGUGGUUUAAUUCGAAGCAACGCGCAGAACCUUACCUACGCUUGACAUGCCCGGACGAUUUCCAGAGAUGGAUCUCUCCCUUCGGGGCCGGUGCACAGGUGCUGCAUGGCUGUCGUCAGCUCGUGUCGUGAGAUGUUGGGUUAAGUCCCGCAACGAGCGCAACCCUCAUCCUUAGUUGCCAUCACGUUUGGGUGGGCACUCUAGGGAAACUGCCGGUGCUAAGCCGGAGGAAGGCGGGGAUGACGUCAAGUCCUCAUGGCCCUUACGCGUAGGGCUACACACGUGCUACAAUGGCAGUGACAAUGGGAUAAUCCCCAAAAGCUGUCUCAGUUCGGAUUGUCGGCUGCAACUCGCCGGCAUGAAGUUGGAAUCGCUAGUAAUCGUGGAUCAGCAUGCCACGGUGAAUACGUUCCCGGGCCUUGUACACACCGCCCGUCACACCAUGGGAGUUGGAUCUACCCGAAGAUUGUGAGCUAACUUCGGAGGCAGCAAGCCACGGUAGGUUCAGCGACUGGGGU